UACGUAGGGUGCGAGCGUUGUCCGGAAUUAUUGGACGUAAAGAGCUCGUAGGCGGUUUGUCGCGUCUGGUGUGAAAACUCAAGGCUUAACCUUGAGCUUGCAUCGGGUACGGGCAGACUAGAGUGUGGUAGGGGAGACUGGAAUUCCUGGUGUAGCGGUGAAAUGCGCAGAUAUCAGGAGGAACACCGAUGGCGAAGGCAGGUCUCUGGGCCACUACUGACGCUGAGAAGCGAAAGCAUGGGGAGCGAACAGGAUUAGA
rnacentral:rRNA from 1 species